CCUUCACUUUCGAAGGUCACGGAGAUCAUUACGUAAAACGUAUCAUGCAGGUGUAGAGGUUGGGUGAGAACAGAGAAAAGAGUGGGUGAGAAAAGAACGAGAAAAGUUUUGCAUCAUUAUCAAAAAGGUAAAAUAGCCGCAAGGCCUAAGAGGUGAGGGGAUGAAAAAAAUCGUAUAAAAGGAGAGAGAAAAGGCAAAAGAAAUCAGUCAAGUGAGCAUCUCCGACAAGGUAACUACUGCAGCGCUGUCACCAACUACCUUUUUCAUCGUAAUAAAUCAGUUCGCAAUCAUGGUCUAGUUAAUUAUGGCGUCGUGCUGCUGUUGGGUGUUGUAUCGUUGAUGGCUGGGUCGACCACGAGUAUACCAAUGUCUCCUGGGUAUGGUGGAUACCAAGCAACAGCAGUGAAAGAACAGAACACUACGUCGCCGCACUACUACACAACGUCAACAUACGCAACACCUACUUACUACGCCGAGCCACCAAGUACUACAUCACAAAGGCUCCAGAUUAUUACACUACAACUUUGCUGCACCGAGCUACUACAUCGAAGUCCCGAAGUAUUACUCUGCCCCGAGUUACGUCAUCAAAUCGCCCGAGUACUACACUGAGGCUCCCGAGUACUACACUGAGGCUCCCAAGUACUACACCACCAAAGCUCCAGAGUUCUACAUUACAGCCUACGCUGCUCCAGCUUACUGUACUGAUGCUCCCAGCUACUACACCGAGGCUCCGGCUUAUUACACCACCAAAUCGGUCGAAUACUACACCGAAGCGCCCAAGUACUACACUGCAACAGUGCAACCUAUACUGCCCAGCUUACGAUAGAAAUCAGCUGUGUGAGGAUCUCCGAUACACCAACAACUGUAGUGCUCUAUCUGUCACCAACUGCAUUCCUCAUGUAAAUAAUACGCAAUCAUAGUCACUUAUGGAAUAGUUGUGCUGAUAUUGGUUGUUGUAUCGUUGAUGCUGGGUCGAACACGAGUGUACUGAUGUCUCCUGAGUAUGGUGGAUAUCAAGCAACAGCAGCGCGAGUACUACACCAAGGCUCCCAAGUAUACUACACCACUAAGGCACCAGAAUACUACACGACUACGUAUGCUGCCCGUGCCUACUACACCGAGGCCUCUAAUUACUACAAUACCGGAGCGCUCAAGUACUACACUACAACCUACUCUGACCCAAGCUACUACACUGACACCCCGAAGUACUACUAUGCGUAAAAGGUAUCGACUAAAAAAAGAAGUCGUAUAAAAGGAGAGAAAAAAGGUGCAGUGGACUAUUUGUCACGAACUGGAUUGUUCAUCGUAUAACCAGUUCGCAAUCAUGGGUAUGCUGGAUACCAAUCAACAUCAGUGAAAUAAUACUACACCAGGUCGCCACCCUACUACACAACAUCGUCAACACUCAACACCUACUUACUGCAACGAGGACCAAAAGUACUACACCACCAAACACCAAUGCUCUAGAAUAUAACCCGAAAUACUACUCUGCGCCGGGGUACUACACCGAUGCCCCGAAGUAUUACUCUGCCAGCGCCUGAAUACUACACUGAGGCUCCCAAGUACUAUACCAGCGAAGGUUCAGAGUAUUACACUACAACCUACGUUGUUCCAGCUUACUAUACUGCUGCUCCCAGCUACUACACCGAGGCUUCCAGCUUAUUACACCACCAAAGUGGUCGAGUGGUACACCGAAGAGCCCAAAUACUACACUGCAACCUACGCUGCCCCAGCUUACACCACCAAGGCACCGGAGUACUACACCACCAAGACACCGGAGUACACAGCGGCUCCUUCAUACUACGUUGAACCGGAAUGCUACACUGAUGCUCCAGUUUACUACACCACAGCCUACUCUAUCCUAGCUACUACACCGAAGCGGCGAGCUACUACACCGAAGCGGUAUUAUCCAACCACGUAUGCUGCACUGCACUGCACAGCGGCUCCUAAUUACUAAACCACUACGCCCUGGAGUUUUACACAACCAAGUUUUACACAACCUACGCUGCCCGCAGCUACUGCACUUCGGCUCCUAAGUACUACACCCCCAAGGCACUAGAGUAUUAUACCACUACUUACGCUUCUCCGACCUACUACACCGGAACUCCGAAGCACUACUCUGCCUCGAGUUACUACGCUACUAAGGCAUCUGAAUAUUACACCACAACUUACGCUUCCCCAACUUACUACAAGGAGGUUCUUAAAUACUAGAGCCGAAAUUUUUAUUUUAUGUUUGUGUUUUUAAUUUGGUUAUAUCUAUAUGGUUACUAGUAACUGUGAUUUGAUUAUUUAUCUUUAAUGAGAAAAUAAAUAUUUUUAAUGUGA